rnacentral:rRNA from 1 species
UACGGAGGGUGCAAGCGUUGUCCGGAAUCACUGGGCGUAAAGGGCGCGUAGGCGGCCCGGUAAGUAGGGGGUGAAAUCCUGCGGCUUAACCGCAGGGCUGCCUUCUAAACUGUCGGGCUCGAGCACGGUAGAGGCAGAUGGAAUUCCCGGUGUAGCGGUGAAAUUCGUAGAUAUUCGGAGGAACACCAGUGGCGAAGGCGGCUCACUGGCUCGGUACUGACGCUGAGGUGCGAAAGCGUGGGGAGCAAACAGG